UACGUAGGUGGCAAGCGUUGUCCGGAAUUAUUGGGCGUAAAGCGCGCGCAGGCGGUCCCUUAAGUCUGAUGUGAAAGCCCACGGCUCAACCGUGGAGGGUCAUUGGAAACUGGGAGGCUUGAGUAUAGGAGAGAAGAGUGGAAUUCCACGUGUAGCGGUGAAAUGCGUAGAGAUGUGGAGGAACACCAGUGGCGAAGGCGACUUUCUGGUCUGUAACUGACGCUGAGGCGCGAAAGCGUGGGGAGCAAACAGG
rnacentral:misc_RNA from 1 species